rnacentral:rRNA from 1 species
UACGUAGGGGGCUAGCGUUGUCCGGAUUUAUUGGGCGUAAAGAGCGUGUAGGCGGCUUGAUAGGUCUGCUGUGAAAACUCGGGGCUCAACCCCGAGAUGUCGGUGGAAACCAUCUGGCUAGAGUCCGGAAGAGGAGAGUGGAAUUCCAGGUGUAGCGGUGAAAUGCGUAGAUAUCUGGAGGAACACCGGUGGCGAAGGCGGCAUCCUGGACCGACACUGACACUGAGGAGCGAAAGCCAGGGGAGCAAACGGG